GACGAACGCUGGCGGCGCGCUUAACACAUGCAAGUCGAGCGAGAACCAGUCCUUCGGGACUGGGGAAAGCGGCGAACGGGUGAGUAACACGUGGGUAAUCUGCCCUCGGCACUGGGAUAGCCCGGGGAAACCCGGAUUAAUACCGGAUAGCCUUUCGAGCCUUCGGGCUCGUCAGAAAAGGUGGCUUCGGCUUCCGGCUGAGGAUGAGCCCGCGGCGGAUUAGCUUGUUGGUGGGGUAAUGGCCUACCAAGGCGACGAUCCGUAGCUGGUCUGGGGGGACGAUCAGCCACACUGGGACUGAGACACGGCCCAGACUCCUACGGGAGGCAGCAGUGGGGAAUCUUGCGCAAUGGGCGAAAGCCUGACGCAGCGACGCCGCGUGCAGGAAGAAGGCCUUCGGGUUGUAAACCGCUUUCAGGAGGGACGAAGCCACUCGGGUUAAUAGCCCAGAGGGUGACGGUACCUCCAGAAGAAGCCCCGGCUAACUACGUGCCAGCAGCCGCCGUAAAAC
rnacentral:rRNA from 1 species